CAUCUCGUCUCAACGAAACAAGCUCAGGCCUCCCUCUGAUUCAGCGGGAAAACAAAGAAACUGUGGCACUGUCAUAAAUCAUCGUAUUUCAAGCAUGUCGUCGGAUGUUGACACAAAUGAAAGCCUCCCACGCGCGGUGUGUCCACCCACGCGCGGAUUUGCGUCACGCGGGGAGCAGCGUGGGCGCGAGGCUCACAGAAGACGUGGAGAGAAAGGCAGCGGAAUAUCCCACUAGUCAAGCUACGGCGCUGUAGAAAAGCAAAAAAGGAAAAGGGCAGAAAAAUAAAAGCCCCGGUCGUGCUUUAUGAGGUACUUUGUUUGGAUGAGGCUGAAUUCAAUCACUAAAACCAGUUAAAAUCAAACAGUUAUUUAAAAAAAAAAAAAAAAAAAAAGAGUCAAAACGUUAUUAAAACAGAAGUGGAAAAACGCUCAAAGUUAGCAUUUUUGUUUAUAUGCUAUACAAAGAGUUAGACAAUGAUUGGAAAAUAAAACGCUUAUAAGACAAUUCUUAUUCAUCAUCGCAUAUUGUUGUUCAUAAUUUUAACCCUUAAAGACCUGCAACAUGAAGCAAUUAUCAGAGAAUCCCAAAAUUUGAAAAAUAAGGUCCUAAUGAAACCUUUUUUUCAAAUUUGUAAAAAGAAAUGUCAAAAUGAAUAUGUGUAAUAAGUGCCCUAGCUAAAUCCUGUUUUUUUUUUUCAUUGAACCUGCAGAUGCAUGUGUUGACUUGCAUCCAUCUUUUUUUUUUUUUCAAAAAGAAAUGUCAAAAUUCUGAAUUACUGUCAAAAUCAUGAAAUUUUAGCUGUAUCAAAUGUGAUACAUUUUGCAAUAAAGGGUUAAUUUUGGCACAGAAAAUAAAUGAAUACAUGAAUUUAUAAUCCCACAAUAUUUUGCAAAUGCCCGGUAAUCCAAAAAAUUGCUGCAAUAAAUCAGCAAGCACAGCCUAGUUUUGGUUCUUGAUAUAAACAACUCUGAUUCAUAACCAUGUUGUAACAUCAGCUGUCCAACACACAGAAUGAUACCAUUGUGUUUAAAUAAACAGGUUCUCAUUUCUCACAGAGAAAGUAAAUUGACUAGUAUUAAGAGGGAACCAUUGCUAGGAGUGGGAACCUCUUGGUACCUCACGAUACGAUACGAUUUGCGAUACAAAGCUCACAAUAACGAUGAUCUGACGAUAUGGCGAUACAACGACUAUCGCUACAUUGGUCAGCAAAUCAUUCUAGGAAGCUACUAAUAAACAGAAAAACACAAUUUUCAUCCUUUUGUUGUGUGUUUAUCACUAGUAGACGUCCAAUCCGUUUGAACUGGGAGGGUGGCAGCGAAUGAACGAAUUUUCAUUCACUGCCAUCCCUCCCACUUCAAAUGGAUUGAACGUGUAUGGCCGUCAGUGGCAGCCAAUGCCAGGCAAUGAGGUAGUUUUGGGCCAUUUAAGGUCAUUUACCUGCUGAUUUUCAGUUACAUCCUAUUGAUUUUGGGGUAUUUUAUGGGUCACUUCCUGUUUAUUUUGAGUUACAGAACAGGAAGUGACCUGGUAAUCACCCAAUAAAUAGGCAGUGACUCAAACUCAACAGGAAAUGACCUGUAAAUGCCCUAAAAUGAACCGCAAGUUACCUGUAAAUGCCCCAAAAAUCGGACUAAAUGACUGUGAAUGCUAUGGCUUUGAAUAAACGAAUGUUCCCAGUCUAAUUGGAUUGGGCGUCGAGCACCGUCAAAGGCAGCCUUAAGGCCGAGUGAUACUUCCGCGUCAGACCUGCGCCAUCAAGGAAGACCCGAUUUAUGACCCUGCACCGUAGCCUGACGCGGUCCUAUUGAUUUUUCAAACCCUAACUUCACGUCAACGCAUAUGACGUGGCGGAAAUGGACUGUGAUUGGUUCGCUCAGACUGUUGUUUCCGCUUCAGCACGAAAUCACCACCAUAGUAAAACAUUUUUCUAGACACAACAAUGGACCAAGCCGACGGGAGUAUCAUCGAAGAGCAAGUCUCGUCAAGACAUCAUAAAGUUUGCCAAAUGGCAAGGUCAGCGAUUGAAUAAAAAAAUGGAAGAACCACCGAGACAUGUGUGUUCGGAAUCGAGUGGCCACACGAAGCGGUUACCCAGUUGGCCAAAAACUGCCAGCUUUUUAUCCC